AGAGUUUGAUUCUGGCUCAGAACGAACGCUGGCAGCGUGGAUUAGGCAUGCAAGUCGAACGGGAUCGGGAAGGUAGCAAUAUCGGCCCGUGAGAGUGGCGGAAGGGCGAGGAACACGUGGGCAACCUGUCCUUGAGGUGGGGAAAACCGUUGGAAACGACGGCUAAUACCGAAUGUGGCGCCGGGAGGCAUCUUCCGCGCGCUAAAGGGGGCCGCAAGGCUCCCCCUCUUCGAGGGGCUCGCGCACCAUCAGCUUGUUGGCGGGUAACGGCCCACCAAGGCUCACGGUUAGCUGGUCUGAGAGGAUGGCCAGCCGCACUGGGACUGAGAUACUGCCCAGACUCCUACGGGAGGCUGCAGUCGAGGAUCAUUCGCAAUGGGGGAAACCCUGACGAUGCGACGCUGCGUGGAAGGAUGAAGGCCCUCGGGUCGUAAACUCCUGUCAUGAGGGAAAAGGCGAGGGGACCCAACACGUCCCUUAGUUGAUGGUACCUCAAGAGGAACGGGCGGCUAACUCUGUGCCAGCAGCUGC
rnacentral:rRNA from 1 species